GGUUGUCGUCAGCUCGUGUCGUGAGAUGUUGGUUAAGUCCCGCAACGAGCGCAACCCUCGACCUUAGUUGCCAGCAUUCAGUUGGGCACUCUAAGGUGACUGCCGGCUAAAAGUCGGAGGAAGGUGGGGAUGACGUCAAAUCAUCAUGCCCCUUAUGACCUGGGCUACACACGUGCUACAAUGGUUGGUACAACGAGUUACGAGUCGGUGACGGCGAGCUAAUCUCUUAAAGCCAAUCUCAGUUCGGAUUGUAGGCUGCAACUCGCCUACAUGAAGUCGGAAUCGCUAGUAAUCGCGGAUCAGCACGCCGCGGUGAAUACGUUCCCGGGCCUU
rnacentral:rRNA from 1 species